rnacentral:rRNA from 1 species
GACGAACGCUGGCGGCGUGCUUAACACAUGCAAGUCGAACGAAGAGCGAUGGAAGCUUGCUUCUAUCAAUCUUAGUGGCGAACGGGUGAGUAACGCGUAAUCAACCUGCCCUUCAGAGGGGGACAACAGUUGGAAACGAAUGCUAAUACCGCAUACGAUCUAACCUCGGCAUCGAGGAAAGAUGAAAGGUGGCCUCUAUGUAUAAGCUAUCACUGAAGGAGGGGAUUGCGUCUGAUUAGCUAGUUGGAGGGGUAACGGCCCACCAAGGCGAUGAUCAGUAGCCGGUCUGAGAGGAUGAACGGCCACAUUGGGACUGAGACACGGCCCAGACUCCUACGGGAGGCAGCAGGGGGGAAUCUUCCGCAAUGGACGAAAGUCUGACGGAGCAACGCCGCGUGAGUGAUGACGGCCUUCGGGUUGUAAAGCUCUGUUAAUCGGGACGAAGGGCCUUCUUGCGAAUAGUGAGAAGGAUUGACGGUACCGGAAUAGAAAGCCACGGCUAACUACGUG